GACUUUACAAAUUGACACUCCUGUCUAUGGCAUCAGUAAUCUCCCUAUGCUCCAGUCAUGAGUUUCCAAGGCUAUGGAAGCCCCUUGAGUUCUCCGACUCUUAUCUUGUUUAGACAAGGUCAUAGUCAAAGUGGAGGUUCUCUCCUCCCUUCAGAGAAAGGUACCUC